UGGGGAAUAUUGCACAAUGGGCGCAAGCCUGAUGCAGCCAUGCCGCGUGUAUGAAGAAGGCCUUCGGGUUGUAAAGUACUUUCAGCGGGGAGGAAGGGAGUAAAGUUAAUACCUUUGCUCAUUGACGUUACCCGCAGAAGAAGCACCGGCUAACUCCGUGCCAGCAGCCGCGGUAAUACGGAGGGUGCAAGCGUUAAUCGGAAUUACUGGGCGUAAAGCGCACGCAGGCGGUUUGUUAAGUCAGAUGUGAAAUCCCCGGGCUCAACCUGGGAACUGCAUCGGAUACUGGCAAGCUUGAGACUCGUAGAGGGGGGUAGAAUUCCAGGUGUAGCGAUGAAAUGCGUAGAGAUCUGGAGGAAUACCGGUGGCGAAGGCGGCCCCCUGGACGAAGACUGACGCUCAGGUGCGAAAGCGUGGGGAGCAAACAGG
rnacentral:rRNA from 1 species